rnacentral:lncRNA from 1 species
AAUUAAACCCAAAGUCUAGCCCAAAUCACAUUAACCCAACUGGCCCAAAUUACACCAGCUAACAAACUUUCAGCAGCAGAAACCCUAGGCACCACAUGCCUGCCCCUAGCUGCCGCUCCUACCCCAAAGCCUAUGCCACGCCUCUAGCGCCGCAUGCGCUCCCUGCACUGCACGUCGCCGCCGGUCGAGACUCGCCAUCACCACGCGUCUGACACAUCAAUCACCUGCAACACGCAAGCAAGAAAACAACAAAAGCAACAGACAAACGAAAAAGACAAAAAAUAGAAGAGAACAUAUAGUUCGGCUAUAAAAAGCCGAAAAUGAAACCAUUGUAAUCCUCUCCCCGAUUUUACGAAUAAAAAGACAGCAGAAACUUUUUUUUAAUCUUUCUUUUUCUUUCUUUUUAUUAGUAUUAUUAUUAUUUUUUCUUUCAAAAAAAACGAAAAUAAAAAAGGGAAAGCAAAACUUACCUGAGGCCUAUUCGCAGCCCCGCCGUCGGUGGUCCUUCACCGUCGUCGGAUUCGCGUUCAAAGGAGGGGGACUGAACCAUUUUCCUUCGGACCCUCGGGUCAAGAAAACUCAACCCUUGAAUACGCCGCGAAGCGAGGGCAAAUAAAGGCCAUCUUUUCGUCGCCGGCCUUUGGCCUCGGCGGCGGCGCGGCCAUUCGUUGGCAAUGACUAUGGCCGGAUAAUGGGAGGGGGCUGAGAGGAUCCCAUUUUUUUUCUUUUUGUAACAGAGGCUGCAAAUGAGGGUUUCAAUUUUUUUUAAGUAAUAAAAACAUUUAAACGGCGCCGUUUGAUGGAGAUCUGCGCAUGUUUUGCCCUAAUGGGUAAUUUGCGCAUUUGGUCCUUCCAUCUUGCGCUUGAAGCGCAAUCUGACCUUUCCUUUUUUUAUUUGGACCGUGAAUUUUGUUUCUGCUUCAGUCUGGUCCUUUGACCAUGUGCGGUCAUUUGCAUUGAAACGCUGCACUCUGGGACUGGGGCAUAUUGCCUGAUCAGUCCUCCAACCUUUAGGCGUAUUCAAGUUCAGUCCCUGAGCUUUUUAUUUACAGUUUGGACCCCCGAAUUUCGGUUUGAUUUUAAUUUUAUCCUUUAGUUCAUUUAAUUUAUUAUUUUUUUUAAAAAGAAAAGGGGAGUUCCUUUAUUAUUUAUUUUAAGUUAUAUAUGUGUAUAUUUUAUUUACCUAAUAUUUUUCUUAUCGUUUGUAUUACUUGAUUUAAGUCAAUAUAAAUACAUGCAUGCAUUUUUAUAAUACACGUACAUAUUUUUCCCAAUUUAUAUGUAUAUAUACUCAUACAUAUAUUCUUUAUAUUCUAUAAUCUAUAUACCUUUUUUAUUUUCAUAUAUAUAUAUAUACAUACAUACGUACUCAUAUAUUUUUGUCUAUAUACAUCUUUCUACUUUCACGAAUAUAUACACACUUAUAUAUAUUUUUUAUAUUUUAUAAUUUUUAUGUACAUAUAUAUAUUUCUUUUAAAUACAUAUAUACUUUUUAGGUUUUAUAAUUUUAAAAUACAUAUAUACGCACAUACUUUUGACAUUUUUUAUAUAUAAAUUAUCAUUAUUUACUUACUUAUAUUUUUAUUAUUUUUAAACUUUGAUGUAUACUUACAUAUAUAUAUAUAUAUAUAUAUAUAUCUUCUUACAUUCUUUAUAAUUAUAUCUAUUUACGUUUUCAUCAUUAAUUUAAAAUAUUUUUAUCUCACUUGCUUAUAUGCUUGUUUUCUUGUAUGUUGUUGAUUCAUCCUUUUUUAUUUAUCUUAUCUUUGAUGCUAUUGCUCGUAUUAUCAUUUUACUUGCACCAUCAUCAUUGUCAUCCCAUUAUACCCAUUUUUACUCAGAUUUGUAAAAAAGGAAGAUUUCGAAAAUAAAAGUAAUACUCGGUAUUUGGGAUCUUCGAGAGGAUUGAACCCUAACGUGUUGGGUUCCCAUUUUCUUCGUCGAAUCUAAAUAAUCGAGAAUCCUCUUUAAAUAAAAAAUAAAUAAAAGCUCAUUUUCGGGAUUUUAAUAUGUUGUGUCCUAACGCAUUGGAUAUGACACGUUUUUUCUCGAUACGAGGAUUUUUCAAAAAUAAAGGCAAUAUUCCAUAUUUAGAAAAUUUGAGAAAAUCGUGCCCUAACUUACUGAGCUUCGAUUUUUCUCGCGUUGAUCCUAAAUAACCGAAUAUCCUUUUAAAGUUGAAAUAAAUGAGGUUCAAACAAAAAAAAUAGAGGCAAGUUUACUCUCGAAAAUACGAUGUGUUGUGUCCUAACUUACUGGAUGUGAUAUCUUGUUACUUCGAGAUAAGAAGGUUUUUUUUCCAUUUUGAUUUAUUCGAGUAAUUUUAAAAUAACACGCAUAAAAAAAGAUUGUAUUUUUAAAUUCUUUAAAGUUCUCAAUUUUCGACACCAAGACAUUAAGUAAUCAACUAGGUACCAAUUUUUGGGCGUAUCGAGGGUGCUAAUCCUUCCUCGUGCGUAACCGACUCCCGAACCCGUUUUUCUGAAUUUCGAGACCAAAAUCGUUGUUUUAAUAAAAAUUAAAUCGUUUAUUAAAAACAACCACUUUUCGAGGUGACCCAAUCACACCUCAUCAAAAAAGGAUUGGUGGCGACUCCCGUUUUCGUUUUCAUUUUCAAAAACCAAGUCGACCCCGUUUUCAUCAAAAAAAUGGUGUCAACAGCUUGGCGACUCCACUGGGGACAAAAUAAGAGAGUCAAGCCACGAGUUGAUUACUUUGUCUUUUUGUUGAAAAUCGAUAACUUGGUUUAAAUAUACGAUUCUUUCUUUGCAUUUCAUUCGUCUCUAUUUCGGUUUUUAUCAUUGUGAUUUGAUCGCCGUGAUAGUUUAAGCUUGGUAUGCUGCUGCAUUGCAUUGCAUGACCUUCGGUCGCACCCUUUUAAGUGGGAGUGAGAAACUAUUCCUUCGUGAGGUCUUCACCUCCGUACAGGAUAGCGGAUCGCUUUUGGGAUACAUCCGUACCUAUGUCUUCGUGAGAUUUUCAUCUCCAUGCAGCCAUAGGGAAAUGUAUUCCCCUGAACCAAACUCAAUCCGUAUGAGCCUAUAAUGGGUGAGGAUCGAGGAAUCUGUUGGUUCGGGUACCUUUAAUUUAGAACCAAACAUCAUGUAGUGAACCUUAGGAGCCUACCCUAGAUAGAACCACUUCGAUUCCCAGUAUUCACCCUAAUAGGUGUUCUAUUUAUUCUUGUUUUCUUUUGCUUUGUACUAACCUGUUUUCUUUUUUUGUUAUGAUUGCAUUGCAUUUUCAUCAUAAAAAAGAGGUGUUGAUUCACGUUCGGUUGUUAAAUAGAGAACUUGUCAUAAGGAGAUGGGUUUCUUGAUAAAGUGGAUAAUAAUACUGUUGUCCGAAUAUGAUCCAAGAAAACGUGAUAAAAGAAGGAUGAUAGUUUAAUGGAGGACUACACAACUAUUGCUCUGUUGCCCGAGAAUUCAAGGUGACAAGGAUUAUUCGAGAGCCGCUGAACUUUCGUAAAGAGAAGCCAACGAGCAUCACGAGGAUGAGUGAUUAACGAGUCGUGGCUCGGAUCAAGCAAAAGGGAGAUAGAAGAGACGUUCUUUUGAAGAGAUCGUGAAAUUUAUCUUAACUCUCGAAUGGAGAAGAGGAUCGAAUAUCCCUGCCUAUGACGGCAAAGCCGUAUAUAUAUAUGCUUUAUGUAAAGAGAUUUGUUUUCUAGUCAAGUUGUUCUAAUAGAAUUGAAUCAAGAAUCAACGUCUCUUUUUGCAUUCAUGCAUUUGCAUUCAUGCAUCUGCAUUACAUUGCAUGCAUCUUUUUAUUCAUUAACAUUACAUUUCAUUGCAUACAAUAAAUUUCCUAAAAUCCAAAAGUGCAUUGAGUUCAGAACUUUAGUACAGAGCCAGAUAGAUGAAAAAGAAUUGGAAUUCUUUGAAUAUAUCGAUGGCUUGGAAAGUAAAGAUGUUUGUGCCUUUGAAGAAGGAACUAAAAAAACCUAUCAGGGAUUUGUUUCUACAUCCCUAAAGGCGUUCUAAACAACUGGACUGUAGAGGAUAUUCUUGUAAUUUUUAGGACCAUUUCAGAGUAAUAUUUGGAACGUUCUUAUUGCUCUAAGCCUGGGAGCAAUAGAAAAUCCUUUUGUGAAAAUGGCACAUGUCCACUAUUCUUUAUUUCAACGAAAUGCAUCUUUGUGUCUUGUUUUGGCAAACAUUCUUUUGUUCCUUCCAUUUCAUUCAUACUCAUACCACACAAAUAAUUCCCUUUUGAUUCAUUGGUUCUUUGAGUCUUCUUUCGUUCCCUAGAACAGGUCUCCAGAUAUCAACGAUAUGAGUGACAUUGCUAUUGACUCAGAACUUUCUUUUGAGCAAGAUAUGUGUCUAGAGGAACCUCAAAACUUCGAAGAUGAUCGAGACUGUAGCUUAUCUCCUGAUUUGUUAAGGAUGGUAGAGCAAGUCGAAAAAUAGAUCUUACCUUACAAAAAAAUCAGUGGGAAAUUGUGAGCUUAGGAGAGGAGAAAAAGGUAAAAAUCAGAGCCUGUAUCACCGCAGAGAUAAAGCGGGACGUCAUUGAGUUACUCUGAGAAUUCAAAGAUGUUUUCGUAUGAUCAAGAUAUGCCUGAGCUACCAAGACAUGUGGAUGCUGUUAAGGCUAAAAAGUAUUAGAAAAUGUCCAUAAGGGUGUCUACGGAACACAUGCAUUGAUUUUGCAAUGGCCAAGUAAAUCAUGAGAUUUAGGUACUGCUGGUUCACCAUGGAAGGGGAUUGCAUCAGUUAUACCAAGAAACGCCACAAAGGCCAAAUUUACGGGGACAAAAUUCGUGUGCCUCUAUCUAUUCAUGUUAUGACUUUUCCAUGACCUUUCUCUAUGUGGGGGCAUGGAGGUCAUUGAGCUAAUCUUGCCAAAAGCUUCUAGCGAUCAUCGAGUCAUCUUUGUAGUCAUCGAUUACUUCAUUAGGUGGGUGGAAGCUACUUCAUGUGCCAAUCUCACGAAGGCAACAGUCAGCAAAUUCUUAAAAAUCAUGUCAGUAUGGAAUGCCAAGAAGGGAUCAUAUUGGACCAUGUAUUGAAUUUAAACAACGGCAGAACAUCAAAAGUUUGCAAUCUGUUCAAGAUUAACACCAUAUUGCCCCAAAAUGAAUGACUCAGUGGAGGCAAAAAAAAAAAGCAAAAAAAAAGAACAAAAAAAUAAAAUAAAAAACAAGAAAAAAAACCUCUACCGGGGCAACUUAUUUCUCACUAGUAUAUGGAAUAGAGGUAGUUUUACACAUUAAAGUUGAUAUUUCUACCCUUCGAGUCUUGUCAGAGCUGAAUUUGGAUGAAGAAAAUCAAGGUCCGAUAUGUACAGUUAAAUUUGAUUGAAGAGAAAAGGUUGAAAGCUAUCCAUCAUGGUUAAAUGUACCAAAAGCGAAUGAUGCGAGCUCACCAAAAAGGUUCCCCCAAAAAAAAAUUCCUUGAGGGGGACCUGAUAUCGAAGAAGAUCCUUCCCAUACAAAAGUACUUCAGAAGAAAGUGGAUCCCAAACUGAAAGGACCUUAUGUGGAAAGUCUUAUCUGGAAAAGCAUUGAUAUUGACCGAGAUGGAUGGCAAAAAACCUGCCUAAUCUUGAGAAUUCUGAUUCAAGCAAUAAGUACUUCAUUUGAAAAAAAAGAAAAGAAAAAGAAAAAAGAAAAGAAGAACGAAAAAAGAAAAAGGAGAGGCCAAUGUGAAAACCCGCAAAGGGCACCUUGAGACCAAAGGGGUUUUAAAUUGAAAACCCAGGAAUGGGCAGUUCAAAUUUUGAUUGAAGGUGGGGCAUGCAGUAGUCUUACCCUCUCUGAAUUAAUAAGAAGGAGAGAUGAUACAUCUUGGGGCAUCAACAAAGUCUUCUAAGACUUCUAGACACAUAUCAAGUUCAAAAGGGUCCUCAAGAAGUUUAGGGCAGAGAAGCUAAUGCUACGAUAUCUGGGGCACCUAUUUCCAUUUUAUUCAUUUUUUGUAUUUUUGACAAAAUACACCAUCUUGAUUAAUUUAUUCUCAUUUUGUAUUCUAGCAAAAUUUGCUAUCUUGAUUAAUUUGUUCAUUUAGAGCUUUGCUCUCAACAAAUUUCCAUCUUAUCCAUUGUGAUAAUCUUUUUCAUCUUAUACAUAUCGUAUCUCAGCAAAAUUUUCUGUCUUGAUUGAUUUGUUUGUUUAGAGCUUUGCUCUCAACAAAAUUUCAUUUUGUCCAUUUUGAUAAUCUUUUUCAAGCAUUUUUCAUUGAAAUAACAAUUAAUGGACUGACAAUACUCAUGCAGAAGGAGUUCUGCAUAUUACUCUGAAAGUUUCUAAAUAAUACGAGGACCUGAAACAAGACUAUUAUUUAGAACUGACAAAACUUGAGGGUUGAAAACAUUUGAGAAAGGAUGGUCUAAAUUGAGACUAUUUCUUUGAAUCUUCUGUCAAAGAUACUUGCUGAACGAGAAAACAUCAGUGAUAGAACCUUGAUGAACAACGAGCAACGACAACCCAAACUUUAAAAAGGGAUCAUUUUCAUGACAUUCUGCAUUCAUUCAAAUGUCAUUCAUACACAUCUAGUUAGGAGCAUUUGAUUCAAUCUGAUCAUGUCAUCCUAAUCACUAGGCAUAAAUAGGUUCAUAAAAUAGAUUAUACAGGUCAUGUUCCCUAUAGAACAAAUCAGUAAAAAUCGAAGACAAACAUUGUUUCUCUUGGUUGUAGCAGAGCUGGUUGAAGACAACAGAUCUUUCCUUCCUGCAUUGACGGCGAAGCAGAUCGAAGACACAAACCUUGCCUCUCUUGGUUGUAGCAGAGCUGGUUGAAGACAACAGAUCUUGCCCUCCUGCAUUGACAGCGAAGCAGAUCGAAGACAAACCUUGCCUCUCUCGUUUGUUGCAGAGCUGGUUGAAGAUAGCAGAUCUUGCCUUCCUGCAUUGACAGCGAAGCAGAUCGAAGACAAACCUUGCCUCUCUCGUUUGUAGCAGAGCUGGUUGAAGAUAGCAGAUCUUGCCUUCCUGCAUUGACAGCGAAGCAGAUCGAAGACAAACCUUGCAUCUCUCGUUUGUAGCAGAGUUGAUUAAAAAUUACAGAUCUUGCCUUCCGAUAUUUGGCAGCGAAGUAGAUCGAAAAUGGCAGAUUUUACCUCCCUGACUACAGUGGAGUACAUUGAAGCCGAUAACUCUAUCUCCCUGUAUUUGGCAGUGGAAUAGAUUGAAGAUUACAGAUCUUGCCUUCCUGUAUUUGGCAGCGAAGUAGAUCGAAGAUGGUAGAUUUUACCUCCCUGACUACAGUGGAGUACAUUGAAGCUGAUAACUCUAUCUCCCUGUAUUUGGUAGUGGAAUAGAUUGAAGAUUACAGAUCUUGCCUUCCUGUAUUUGGCAGCGAAGCAGAUCGAAGAUGGCAGAUUUUACCUCCCUGACUACAGUGGAGUACAUUGAAGCCGAUAACUUUAUCUCCCUGUAUUUAGCAGUGGAAUAGGUUGAAGAUCAAAUAUGGCAGAUUUUACCUCCCUGACUAUAGUGGAGUACAUUGAAGCCGAUAAUUCUAUCUUCCUGGGCAUCAGUGGAAUAGAGUGAAAAGUACAGAUCUUAUCUCCCUAAGCAGUAGUGGAGCAGAUCACAUCCAGUCUUAUCUCCCUAAGCAGUAGUGGAGCAGAAGAAAAAAAAAGCAAUCUCAUCCCUAUAGAGUUGCAGCAGAGAAGAUUGAAGUCAUAUCUCUCUAAAGAUGUCGUAAAGUGGAUCAAAGCGACAAGACACAGUGGACUAGAGUGAAACUACUUGAAGAAGAGAAGCGUCAAAAGAAGUCGAGACUCGGUGAGACCGGGCAAAACUGGUCUUUCUUAGUCUUUGCUCUGUUCUCGUUACACGACAACGAGCAAAGAGGGGCAGUUGUACAAGCCCAAAUUUUGCCCAGCCCAAUACCCAAACUUAAUUACAAAACCCAAAAAACAAAUUAAUCCAUAUCAAGCCCAAUUAAACCCAAAGUCUAGCCCAAAUCACAUUAACCCAACUGGCCCAAAUUACACCAGCUAACAAACUUUCAGCAGCAGAAACCCUAGGCACCACAUGCCUGCCCCUAGCUGCCGCUCCUACCCCCAAGCCUAUGCCACGCCUCUAGCACCGCAUGCGCUUCCUGCACUGCACUGCACGUCGCCGCCGGUCGAGACUCGCCAUCACCACGCGUCUGACACAUCAAUCACCUGCAACACGCAAGCAAGAAAACAACAAAAGCAACAGACAAACGAAAAAGACAAAAAAUAGAAGAGAACAUAUAGUUCGGCUAUAAAAAGCCGAAAAUGAAACCAUUGUAAUCCUCUCCCCGAU